GAUGAACGCUAGCGGCAGGCUUAAUACAUGCAAGUCGAGGGGCAGCAGGACUGUAGCAAUACAGUUGCUGGCGACCGGCAAACGGGUGCGGAACACGUACGCAACCUACCCAAAACUGGGGGAUAGCCCGGGGAAACCCGGAUUAAUACCUCGUAACCUUUUUAAGUGGCAUCACUUGAUAAGUAUAGCUCCGGCGGUUUUGGAUGGGCGUGCGCCUGAUUAGGUAGUUGGUGCGGGUAACGGCCCACCAAGCCUGCGAUCAGUAACUGGUGUGAGAGCACGACCAGUCACACGGGCACUGAGACACGCGCCCGACUCCUACGGGAGGCAGCAGUAAGGAAUAUUGGUCAAUGGACGCAAGUCUGAACCAGCCAUGCCGCGUGAAGGAAGAAGGUCCUCUGGAUUGUAAACUUCUUUUAUGGGGGACGAAACCCGGAUAUUCUUAUCCGAUUGACGGUACCUCAGGAAUAAGCACCGGCUAACUCCGUG
rnacentral:rRNA from 1 species